rnacentral:rRNA from 1 species
GAUGAAAGCCGGCGGUGUGCCUAAUACAUGCAAGUCGAAACGCGUUGGUCCAAUUGAUUGAUGGUGCUUGCACAUGAUUGAUUUUAGUCGCCAACGAGUGGCGGACGGGUGAGUAACACGUAGGUAACCUGCCCAGAAGCGGGGGACAACAUUUGGAAACAGAUGCUAAUACCGCAUAACAACGUUGUUCGCAUGAACAACGCUUAAAAGAUGGCUUCUCGCUAUCACUUAAGAAUGGACAUGCGGUGCAUUAGCUUGUUGGUGGGGUAAUGGCCUACCAAGGCGAUGAUGCAUAGCCGAGUUGAGAGACUGAUCGGCCACAAUGGGACUGAGACACGGCCCAUACUCCUACGGGAGGCAGCAGUAGGGAAUCUUCCACAAUGGGCGCAAGCCUGAUGGAGCAACACCGCGUGAGUGAAGAAGGGUUUCGGCUCGUAAAGCUCUGUUGUUAAAGAAGAACACGUAUGAGAGUAACUGUUCAUACGUUGACGGUAUUUAACCAGAAAGUCACGGCUAACUACGUGCCAGCAGCCGCGGUAAUACGUAGGUGGCAAGCGUUAUCCGGAUUUAUUGGGCGUAAAGAGAGUGCAGGCGGUUUUCUAAGUCUGAUGUGAAAGCCUUCGGCUUAACCGGAGAAGUGCAUCGGAAACUGGAUAACUUGAGUGCAGAAGAGGGUAGUGGAACUCCAUGUGUAGCGGUGGAAUGCGUAGAUAUAUGGAAGAACACCAGUGGCGAAGGCGGCUACCUGGUCUGCAACUGACGCUGAGACUCGAAAGCAUGGGUAGCGAACAGG